ACGGUUCUGCAACAUGUCCUUCUCUACCUGAGCUUUAGGUGGGGCUGUGCAGGUUUCAGUCAGCCUGGGGCGGAGUCCGGUCUGCUCUUUCCUCCGCAGCUGCUUUCCAUCAACCCUCAUCAAGCCUCCCUUUAUGAGGACUGCAGGAGCAACCAGACCUCGCCAGAUUAUCUCACUGUUCUUGUGCCUUGAUACACUCCAGCAUUCCAGUCAUCUGACCUCCAGUCCUCCUCCUCCGAUCGUCAGCUGUAAACCUUGCCACCUGCCUGCUCGCCCUUCCACCCUUCAGCUCAGGAUCCAGCCAUGACAGCCUACCUCCUCCUUCAUUCCAGUUUACAUUUGGAUACAGUAAGCCGCUCACCAGCUUGGCAUCACAGGAUUCUGUUGUUUAGAACUCCACUCACCAUUUUCCUCUCCUCCCAGAGAACCUGAACCCCGGACACUCUCCAGCUCGGACCAUCCAGAUCCCUUGUGUGAAAUAAACCUGUUCUGCCAUU